ensembl:lncRNA
GUCUAAUUGUUCUAUCUAUUUUUGGGAGGGUGUGUUAAAAUCUUCAAAUAUAAUUGUGUAUUUUUUUCUUUUCAGUUCUAUUAGCUUUUGCCUCAUAUAUUUUGUGGCUGUAUUAUUUUUUAGUGCAUAAACAUUUAAAAUUGCUGUUUUCUUGGCAGAUUGAACCUGUUACUACUAUCAGAUGUGCUUCCCCAUCUCUGAGCUUGAAAACUAUUAUGCUACUUUCUUCUGUCACUCGUGGAUUCUGAUGAGAAAUUUGCUGUCAUUCGAAUGUUUUUCCUCUAUAGGUAAAGUAUCAUUUCUCUCUAUCUGCUUUCAAGAUUUUUUUCUUUGUCUUUAGUUUUCAGAAGUUUGUCUAUGAUGUACAUUGGUGUGGAUUUCUUUGUAUAUGUCAUCUUUGGGAUUUAGUCAGCUUCAUGAACCUGUAUGUUUAUUUCUCUUGCCAAAUUGGUGAAGGUUUCAACAAUUAUUUCUUUGAAUAUUUGUAAAAUCACAUCCCCUUUCUCCUCUUCUUCUAUGACUCCAGUGACAUGGAUAUUACAUCUUUGUUAUAGCGUCAUAUUUUCCUGAGGCUCCAUCCGUCAUUUUUCUGUAUGUUUCCUCUCUAUUGUUCAGAUUGGGUAAUUUCUAUCGUUCUAUUUUCAAGUUCUCAGAUUCUUCCCUCUGACUUCUCCAUUCUACUGCUGAGCCCAUCUAUUGGGUUUUAAUUUCAGUUAUUGUAUUUUUUAAUUCUAAAACUUCCAUCACAUCCUCCUUUAUAUUUUUCUCUCUUUGCUGAAGCUUUCUAUUUCUUUGCUCAAGUUUCUAUUUUUUCACUUGCUUCAAGCAUGAUUGCUUAUUGAAGCACUUUUAUGACAGUUGCUUUAAAAUUCUUUCAGAUAAUUCUAACAACUGUAUCAUGUUAGUGUUGGAAACUAUUGACUGUCUUUUCUCAUUCAGUUUCAGAUCUUCCUGGUUCUUGGUAUAACAAGUGAUUUGAUUGAAAAUGGACAUUUUGGGUAUUAUGUUGUAAGACUCUACAUCUUAUUUACUUUUUUUUUUUUUGAGACAGUCUCACUCUGUUGC